rnacentral:rRNA from 1 species
UACAGAGGUCUCAAGCGUUGUUCGGAUUCAUUGGGCGUAAAGGGUGCGUAGGCGGUGAUGUAAGUUGGAUGUGAAAUCCCAGGGCUUAACCCUGGAACUGCAUUCAAUACUGCGUUGCUAGAGUACUGGAGAGGAGAUUGGAAUUCACGGUGUAGCAGUGAAAUGCGUAGAUAUCGUGAGGAAGACCAGUGGCGAAGGCGAAUCUCUGGACAGUUACUGACGCUGAGGCACGAAGGCCAGGGGAGCAAACGGG